GACGAACGCUGGCGGCGUGCUUAACACAUGUAAGUCGAACGGAAAGGCCCUGCUUUUGUGGGGUGCUCGAGUGGCGAACGGGUGAGUAACACGUGAGUAACCUGCCCUUGCCUUUGUGAUAACUUCAGGAAACUGGGGCUAAUACCGGAUAGGUGCUCCUGCUGCAUGGUGGGGGUUGGAAUGUUUCGGGGGUGGGGGUUGGAAUCGCGGCUUAUCCGCUUGUUGGGGGGUUAGUGCCUGACACAGGUUUUGACGGGUUGACGGCCUGAGAGGGUGACCGGCCACAUGGUGACUGAGAUACGGCCCAGACUCCGACAGGAGGCAACAGUGGGGAGUAUAGCACAAUGGGCGGAAGCCUGAUACAGCAACGCCGCGUGCGGGAUGAAGGCCAACGGGUUGUAAACCGCUUUCGCCUGAGACGGAGCGUGAGUGACGGUAAUGGGUAAAGAAGCACCGGCUAACUACGUG
rnacentral:rRNA from 1 species